GGCCGCGACGUCGUCGUCCCCGGCGGCCACGUCGCUGAGGAUUACCGCUCUGGCGUUGGCGUCCCCGUCGGCCGAGACGCAGGCGGCGCCACCUCCUCCCCGCCGCAGCCAGUCCACGUCACCCCGAGCAUCCUCGUCGGCAGCAUCCACGCGCCGGUCUUCCAGGGCGAGCUCGUCGGCAUGAAGUUCGGGGUCGGGUCAUGCUCCAUGGGUGCCGGCACCAGCGCGACCAGGCGCCUCCCCGCGACCGGUUUUGGUGCUCUGCCGACCAGCAGCAUGGCGGAGGAUAGUGCCGACCACGCCGACGACGACCACCUCGCCGAGGAGGAGGAGGAGGAGGAGGAGCACUACAUCGACGACGGGCCCCUCGUCCCCAGAAGCGGCGGCCAGGAGGAGGAGGGAUCCGGCGGCCGCCACGUCUUCGUCCCCGGCGGCCACGAUGGUGAGGAGGACCACCCCGACGACCUCGUCGCCGACCUCGACCUCGACCUACUCGUCGACGGCGUAGUCGGCCCUGUCCCCGGUGGCCACCUCAACGCAGAUGCCCCCGCCUUCGUCCCCACCACCCGUGGGCGCCAGGACCUCUACUCCGCCCUCUCCUCAUCCGCCCCCGCCGCCGGUUACCGGUACCGCCACUACAUCACCUCGUCCGCGCUCGCAGAAGCCGGCCACGUGUCCCCAUUCCUCGGUCUCCCGUACGCCACGGCCUUCGAUUCUCCGCUCGACCGCGAGUUGGUCGGCCCGUCGUCAGCGCCGCCGCCGUGCUCCGCCGCUAGCCGUGCCUGGUUAGUGCGCUGUUCCUCACCGCUCUCCGACUCCGAGUGGACUCGGCGUUCGAUCCUGGCGCGAGAGGCUGCACACACACCGGCCUCCACCGUCACUGGGCGUGGGCGGUUCGAGUUCGUGCCCAUUCCCGGCGCACCCUAUGCUCCGCCGCCGUCAUUCGCCCCCAUCGCCGCCGGAGCUGGACCAGCAGCGCGACCGCAACAGCAGCUGGCAUUCGGACUGGAGGAACACAAGACGAAGCUGUGCGCGGAAUAUUAUUCCCGUGGGCUUGGUUGUCCUCGUGGCAACACAUGCAAGUACGCCCAUGGAGAAGAUGACCUGCGUUUGGUGGUGGCGGUGAGCUCUCUAGCCGACGCCGGUGAGGGCUCCUCGUCCUCGGAUUCGUCCUCCGCCGCUUUGGGAGGGGAAGACAAGUACAAGACGAAGCUAUGCAAGACGUUCACGAGUGGUGGAUUAUGCCUGUUUGCAGCCAACUGCAGGUUCGCGCAUGGGGAGGUGGAGCUUGGGAAGAAGGAGCCGUGCUGGUAUUUCUUCUCCGGUCAGACCUGCCCCCGCGGUGACACCUGUGGUUUCCGGCAUUCCUACUAG
rnacentral:lncRNA from 1 species